GACCAGACUCCUACGGGAGGCAGCAGUGAGGAAUAUUGGUCAAUGGGCGGAAGCCUGAACCAGCCAAGUCGCGUGAGGGAAUAAGGCCCUACGGGUCGUAAACCUCUUUUGCCGGGGAGCAAGGGCGGGGACGUGUCCCGGCCCGGAGAGUACCCGGAGAAAAAGCAUCGGCUAACUCCGUGUCAGCAGCCGCGGUAAUACGGAGGAUGCGAGCGUUAUCCGGAUUUAUUGGGUUUAAAGGGUGCGUAGGGGGGCUUUUAAGUCAGCGGUAAAAGCCCGGGGCUCAACCCCGGCGAGCCGUUGAAACUGGCUGUCUUGAGAUGUCGAGAGGUAUGCGGAAUGCGCAGUGUAGCGGUGAAAUGCUUAGAUAUUGCGCAGAACUCCGAUUGCGAAGGCAGCAUACCGGCGGCGAUCUGACGCUGAGGCACGAAAGCGUGGGUAUCGAACAGGAUUAGAUACCCCCGUACAC
rnacentral:rRNA from 1 species